AGCGAACGCUGGCGGCAGGCCUAACACAUGCAAGUCGAACGAAGCCUUCGGGCUUAGUGGCGGACGGGUGAGUAACACGUGGGAACGUACCUUUUGGUUCGGAACAACUCAGGGAAACUUGAGCUAAUACCGGAUGAGCCCUUAGGGGGAAAGAUUUAUCGCCGAAAGAGCGGCCCGCGUUAGAUUAGCCAGUUUGUGAGGUAAAGGCUCACCAAGGCAACGAUCUAUAGCUGGGCUGAGAGGAUGAUCAGCCACACUGGGACUGGGACACGGCCCAGUCUCCUACGGGAGGCAGCAGUGGGGAAUCUUGCGCAAUGGGCGAAAGCCUGACGCAGCCAUGCCGCGUGAGUGAUGAAGGUCUUAGGAUUGUAAAAUUCUUUUACCAGGGACGAUAAUGACGGUACCUGGAGAAAAAGCCCCGGCUAACUUCGUGCCAGCCGCCGCCGUAACAC
rnacentral:rRNA from 1 species